ensembl:lncRNA
GAGGAGAGGAGAGGAGAGGAGAGGAGAGGAGAGGAGGAGGUCUGAGGAGAGGAGAGGAGAGGAGAGGAGAGGAGGAGGUCUGAGGAGAAGAGAGGAGAGGAGAGGAGAGGAGAGGAGAGGAGGAGAGGAGAGGAGAGGAGGUCUGAGGAGAGGAGAGGAGAGCAGGAGGUCUGAGGAGAGGAGAGGAGAGGAGAAGAGAGGAGAGGAGAGGCGAGGAGAGGAGAGGAGAGGAGAAGAGAGGAGAGGAGAGGAGAGGAGAGGAGAGCAGGAGGUCUGAGGAGAGGAGAGGAGAGGAGAGGAGAGGAGAGGAGAGGAGA